AUGGUGGAGAGUUUGAUCCUGGCUCAGGAUCAACGCUGGCGGCGUGCCUAAUGCAUGCAAGUCGGGCGGGCGGCCCUCGGGUCGUCACGCGGCGGACGGGCGAGGAACACGUGGGCAACCUGCCCCGGGGCGGGGGGUAGCCCUCGGAAACGAGGGGUAAUUCCGCGUACGGUGGUCCCCUGGGUAGGGGGGAUCAGGAGAGGGACGCGGUCAAACGCGUCUCACCCCGGGAGGGGCCCGCGGCCGAUUAGCUAGACGGUGGGGUAACGGCCUACCGUGGCGAUGAUCGGUAGCUGGUCUGAGAGGACGGCCAGCCGCACGGGGACUGAGACACGGCCCCGACUCCUACGGGAGGCAGCAGCAAGGAAUUUUCCGCAAUGGGCGAAAGCCUGACGGAGCAACGCCGCGUGCGGGAGGACGCCUUUCGGGGUGUAAACCGCUUUU
rnacentral:rRNA from 1 species